CGGGGUGAGUAAUGUCUGGGAAACUGCCUGAUGGAGGGGGGUAACUACUGGAAACGGUAGCUAAUACCGCAUAACGUCGCAAGAUCAAAGAGGGGGACCUUCGGGCCUCUUGCCAUCGGAUGUGCCCAGAUGGGAUUAGCUAGUAGGUGGGGUAACGGCUCACCUAGGCGACGAUCCCUAGCUGGUCUGAGAGGAUGACCAGCCACACUGGAACUGAGACACGGUCCAG
rnacentral:rRNA from 1 species